CCUCUCAUCACCCGAACAUUCUCCUCCUUCCCCGAUCUUUUCUUCUCCCCUUCCUCUGUUCUCUCUCGCGGACGAACCGAAACCAGCGGACUUCCGGCAAUCAUCGACGUCGACUGAGGGCUCAUCGCCAGAGCUUGCCAGAGAUCGAAGAAGGGGGCCGGAUCAUCUUGAUUCCCUCUUCUCAACCCUUCCCCGACACCGACACCAAGGGAGAUGAUCGCCUGAAUGAAGAGGCAAUUAGGGCUCCGUGGCUAGCUUCGAUUUCUUCUUCUCUGGAUGUUCUCCGAUCUGUGCCCUAGCACGAUUUGCGUUUUCCCGAUCGAUGACAUUGGAUCAAGCCGGAUCCACCGAUCACCGGUGUGGAGAGGCAGUUAGGGCUUCAAUGGAUCUUGAUCCUCUUCUUUGAGGUUGAUUUAGGUCACGGAUUGGAGGGGAUCAAUGAGUUUGUUCUUGAGCUGUCGGGCAGAGUCUAGGAGGUUUGUAAUUGAUCAGUGAUGAUCUUCGGAUUGAGUGAUACCUUCUGGAGACAACCGAUUGAGGGAGGUGUUCUUGAGCUGUCGAGCAGAGGCUAGAAGGAUGGUUGUGCUUGAUCAGUAGUCUUCCUGCUGGAUUCUUGCUUGAUCUGAUUGAUAACAGCAAGUAGGAAGGAUUUUAGCAGCGAGGUUGUGUUGCUGUGAUGCUGGAAUUGUGGUCAUUGAGGUGGUUUACAACAGCGUUUCUAGUUUCGGCAACUCUCCAACAGCAGCUACCUUUCCUGGCAGCACCAUUUCUUUGUGUGGAUCAACAAAACAGUGCUAGGAAUUUAGGACUCUGAUUCGAGACAGGCGUCUCGAUGUUGGAUUUGGCGUUAUUGCACCUUCUAUUUGAGGCGGGUACCCUUUGACUUAUCUCUUGAUAGUGUCUUAUGAUAUGUGCAGUUUAUAUAUACUUACUAGUGUUGGUAGUGUAACGCCCGCCCUCCCUGCUAACCCUAA